rnacentral:rRNA from 1 species
GUGGAUUAGAUACCCCGGUAGUCCACGCCGUAAACGAUGAUAACUCGUUGUUGGCGAUACACAGUCAGCGACUGAGCGAAAGCAUUAAGUUAUCCACCUGGGGAGUACGGUCGCAAGACUGAAACUCAAAGGAAUUGACGGGGGCCCGCACAAGCGGAGGAACAUGUGGUUUAAUUCGAUGAUACGCGAGGAACCUUACCUGGGCUUAAAUGGGAGAUGAAUGAUUUGGAAACAGAUAGUCUCUUCGGAGCAUCUUUCAAGGUGCUGCACGGUUGUCGACAACU